rnacentral:rRNA from 1 species
UAGAGUUUGACGUCCUCGGCGUCAGGACGAACGGCUGGCGGCGUGCUUACACAUGCAAGUCGAGCGAGGCCGACCUUCGGGUGGUGUCCUAGCGGCGAACGGGUGAGUAACACGUGGGCAACCUGCCCUCAGCUCUGGGAUAACUCCGGGAAACCGGGGCUAAUACCGGAUAUGACCCUGUGAAGCAUUUCGUGGGGUGGAAAGUUUUUCGGCUGAGGAUGGGCCCGCGGCCUAUCAGCUUGUUGGUGGGGUGAUGGCCUACCAAGGCGACGACGGGUAGCCGGCCUGAGAGGGCGACCGGCCACACUGGGGACUGAGACACGGCCCAGACUCCUACGGGAGGCAGCAGUGGGGAAUAUUGCGCAAUGGGCGAAAGCCUGACGCAGCGACGCCGCGUGAGGGACGAAGGCCUUCGGGUUGUAAACCUCUUUCAGCAGGGACGAAGCGAAAGUGACGGUACCUGCAGAAGAAGCACCGGCCAACUACGUG